GACGUGCGAGAUCGUUAAAUACGGAAACUCCGAUUGACACGCAAUCGCUGGUUGAUGCUACGUGAACCAAUGUUCUACUCUACGGUGCUACAAGAGAAACGAGAUGCGAAUGGGGUAUAUGGGGUAUAUAUGCCGGGGCGGAGGAAGGGACGGGAGGGAGAGAUGCAUAGUGUGUGACAUGUCGAGAACAACGGAGGCACGCCACGUGAAACGACAGACUUCUCGCGCGUACGUUUCGCCCGUCCACCCAAGAGUCCGGCUGUUACCGUUCGACACGUUGAAUGCCGGCACAUACGCGCGAAACUUUAUUGUUCGUUACCACACAGACCGCGCGCGAUCUGAAGUCGGCGACACGUUCGCGCGACGGGGAAAAUUUAUCCGCGAAAAUUUCGGGCCACGCGGGCAAACCUCUUCCCUGAUUGAACAGUAAUUGCAACAAUCAUGGAAAUUAACCGUGAUCCGGCGCAUUCAACGUGUUCGAACUCGCUGUCCUUGGAUCGAUCCGUAAGCGCCACUACCUUGCUGCAGCGUAUGGAGCAUUUUUGGAUUUAAACUUUGGAAGUUAUCGUGGAAAAUUUUCUUCGAGGAAUAGAGAGUGCGCUAAGAGAUGUGCGUGACGUCAGAAGCGAGGUGCCUCGGGCUAAAUAUUUUCAAAGCGUUUUCAAAGCCGGCGCGCUUAAAGCAUCAAAGCUGCAAUAAUGUAAUACGAACAAAAGCUACGACCGUACUGUCGUUUCCUGUUGUAACGUGCUCAAGAUUCGCGUGUGGCAAUGUGAAAUAUACAUUUUAAUUUAACAUCAAUAAAAGACAUUAAUUUUUAAAUGAAA